GAUGAACGCUGGCGGCGUGCCUAAUACAUGCAAGUCGAGCGAACGGACGAUAAGCUUGCUUCUCUGAUGUUAGCGGCGCACGGGGGAGUAACACGUGUAUAACCCACCUAUAAGACUGGUAAAAUUUCGGGAAACCGGAGCUUAUACCGGAUAAUAUCCUGAACCGCAUGGUUCAAUAGUGAAAGACGGUCUUUCUGUCACGUAUCGCUGGUUCCGCGCUGCAUUAGCUAGUUGGUAAGGUAACGGCUUACUAAGGCAACGAUGCAUAGCCGACCUGAUAGGGGGGUCGGCCACACGGGAGCUGAGACACGGUCCAGACUCCUAAGGGAGGCAGCAGAAGGGAAUCUGCGGCAAUGGGCGGAAGCCUGACGGAGCAGCGCGGCGUGAGUGAUGAAGGUCUUCGGAUCGUAAAGCUCUGUUAUUAGGGAAGAACAGAUGUGUAAGUAACUGUGCAGAGAUUGACGGUACCUAAUAAGAAAGCCACGGCUAACUACGUG
rnacentral:rRNA from 1 species